rnacentral:rRNA from 1 species
GAUGAACGCUGGCGGCGUCCCUAAUACAUGCAAGUCGAGCGAACAGACGAGGAGCUUGCUCCUCUGACGUUAGCGGCGGACGGGUGAGUAACACGUGGAUAACCUACCUAUAAGACUGGGAUAACUUCGGGAAACCGGAGCUAAUACCGGAUAAUAUAUUGAACCGCAUGGUUCAAUAGUGAAAGACGGUUUUGCUGUCACUUAUAGAUGGAUCCGCGCCGCAUUAGCUAGUUGGUAAGGUAACGGCUUACCAAGGCAACGCUGCGUAGCCGACCUGAGAGGGUGAUCGGCCACACUGGAACUGAGACACGGUCCAGACUCCUACGGGAGGCAGCAGUAGGGAAUCUUCCGCAAUGGGCGAAAGCUUGACGGAGCAACGCCGCGUGAGUGAUGAAGGUCUUCGGAUCGUAAAACUCUGUUAUUAGGGAAGAACAAAUGUGUAAGUAACUAUGCACGUCUUGACGGUACCUAAUCAGAAAGCCACGGCUAACUACGUG